CCUACGGGAGGCAGCAGUGGGGAAUAUUGCACAAUGGGGGAAACCCUGAUGCAGCAACGCCGCGUGAAGGAAGACGGUUUUCGGAUUGUAAACUUCUAUCAAUGGGGAAGAAAGAAAUGACGGUACCUGAUUAAGAAGCCGCGGCUAACUACGUGCCAGCAGCCGCGGUAAUACGUAGGGGGCAAGCGUUAUCCGGAUUUACUGGGUGUAAAGGGAGCGUAGACGGCCGAACAAGUCUGGAGUGAAAUGCCGGGGCUUAACCCCGGAACUGCUUUGGAAACUGUGCAGCUAGAGUGCAGUAGAGGUGAGUGGAAUUCCAAGUGUAGCGGUGAAAUGCGUAGAUAUUAGGAGGAACACCAGUGGCGAAGGCGGCUCACUGGACUGUAACUGACGUUGAGGCUCGAAAGCGUGGGGAGCAAACAGGAUUAGAUACCCUUGUAGUC
rnacentral:rRNA from 1 species